AUUGAACGCUGGCGGCAUGCCUUACACAUGCAAGUCGAACGGUAACAGGUCUUCGGAUGCUGACGAGUGGCGAACGGGUGAGUAAUACAUCGGAACGUGCCCGAUCGUGGGGGAUAACGGAGCGAAAGCUUUGCUAAUACCGCAUACGAUCCACGGAUGAAAGCAGGGGACCGCAAGGCCUUGCGCGGACGGAGCGGCCG
rnacentral:rRNA from 1 species